GACGGAGGAUGCAAGCGUUAUCCGGAAUUAUUGGGCGUAAAGCGUCCGCAGGUGGCUGUUCAAGUCUGCUGUCAAAGCGCAGAGCUUAACUCUGUACAGGCGGUGGAAACUGAAGAGCUAGAGUAUGGUAGGGGUAGAGGGAAUUCCCGGUGUAGCGGUGAAAUGCGUAGAGAUCGGCAGGAACACCCAGGGGGAAACCAGCCGACUGGGCAUUUGCUGACGCUGAGGUGCGAGAGCGUGGGGAGCGAACCGG
rnacentral:rRNA from 1 species